rnacentral:rRNA from 1 species
UGAAAAAAUUAGAGUGUUCAAAGCAGGCAGAUCCAAUUUUCUGCCACCGAAUACAUUAGCAUGGGAUAAUGGAAUAGGACCCUGUCCUCCUAUUUUCAGUUGGUUUUGGCAGCGCGAGGACUAGGGUAAUGAUUAAUAGGGAUAGUUGGGGGCAUUAAUAUUUAAUUGUCAGAGGUGAAAUUCUUGGAUUUAUGAAAGAUUAACUUCUGCGAAAGCAUCUGCCAAGGAUGUUUUCAUUAAUCAAGAACGAAAGUUAGGGGAUCGAAGACGAUCAGAUACCGUCGUAGUCUUAACCAUAAACGAUGCCGACCAGCGAUUAGGAGACGUUGAAUACAAAACACCACCAUCGGCGCGGUCGUCCUUGGCGUGUCUCGGCUUCACGGCCGGGGCGCGCGAGGGCGGUUAGCCCA